UCGUCUUCUUCCUCCCGCACGCGACGAGCAGAGGCGCGGCGCGCGCGGAUCGGCGCGGCCGGCCCGAGCCGGGAGGGCGGCGGGCGGCUCGGCGACGGCCGGGGGAGGCGCGGAGGAGCUCUGGCGAUCUCCCGUUGGCGUCCACAGUGCGUGGCGACGCGGAGGUGGGAAGGAGAGCGCUCGGGGUGA
rnacentral:lncRNA from 1 species